rfam:Coccidioides immitis RMSCC 3703 supercont1.58 genomic scaffold, whole genome shotgun sequence.
GGCCUUGUGGCGUAAUUUGGCAACGCGUCUGACUACGAAUCAGGAGACUGCAGGUUCGAGCCUGCCAAGUCAA